rnacentral:SRP_RNA from 1 species
GCCAGGCGUGGUGGCUCACGCCUGUAAUCCCAGCUACUUGGGAGGCUGAGGUGGGAGAAUCGCUUGAACCUGGGAGGCGGAGGUUGCAGUGAGCCGAGAUUGUGCCACUGCACUCUAGCCUGGGUGACAGAGUGAGACUCUGUCUCAA